GGUUAAGCGACUAAGCGUACACGGUGGAUGCCCUGGCAGGUCAGAGGCGAUGAAGGACGUGCUAAUCUGCGAUAAGCGUCGGUAAGGUGAUAUGAACCGUUAUAACCGGCGAUUUCCGAAUGGGGAAACCCAGUGUGUUUCGACACACUAUCAUUAACUGAAUCCAUAGGUUAAUGAGGCGAACCGGGGGAACUGAAACAUCUAAGUACCCCGAGGAAAAGAAAUCAACCGAGAUUCCCCCAGUAGCGGCGAGCGAACGGGGAG
rnacentral:rRNA from 1 species